GGACUACAGGGGUUUCUAAUCCUGUUUGCUACCCACGCUUUCGCGCAUCAGCGUCAGAUGCCGGCCAGUGUACUGCCUUCGCCAUGGGUGUUCCUCCUGAUAUCAACGCAUUUCACCGCUACACCAGGAAUUCCAUACACCUCUCCGACCCUCCAGUCUGCCAGUAUGCAGAGCAGUUUCCGGGUUGAGCCCUGGAGAUUUCACUCUACACUUAACAGACCGCCUACGCGCUCUUUACGCCCAGUAAAUCCGGACAACGCUUGGACCCUACGUCUUACCGCGGCUGCUGGCAC
rnacentral:rRNA from 1 species